rnacentral:rRNA from 1 species
UACGGGGGGAGCAAGCGUUGUUCGGAUUUACUGGGCGUAAAGGGCGCGUAGGCGGCAUGACAAGUCACUUGUGAAAUCUCUGGGCUUAACCCAGAACGGCCAAGUGAUACUGUCGCGCUAGAGUGCGGAAGGGGCAAUCGGAAUUCUCGGUGUAGCGGUGAAAUGCGUAGAUAUCGAGAGGAACACCUGAGGUGAAGACGGGUUGCUGGGCCGACACUGACGCUGAGUGCGCGAAAGCCAGGGGAGCAAACGGG